rnacentral:misc_RNA from 1 species
AAAGAGGCUAGAGAACCAUGACAAAAGCUUCUGGAGCCAUAUCUAUGACUGGUAAAAUGUUCAAAACAAAAUUGAAAAUAGCUAAUGCAAUUAAACAAAACUAGUUCAUCAAUGCAGAAUCUCAUCAAAAACACAUCACUUCUUCUUUUGGGCAGCCUUGGUGACUUUAGCACCAGUAGGGUCUUUCUUGUCAACGUUCUUGACAACUCCAACAGCAACAGUCUGACGCAUGUCCCUCACGGCAAAACGUCCCAAUGGUGGGUACUCAGCAAAGGUCUCAACAACCAUGGGCUUGGUG